rnacentral:lncRNA from 1 species
ACUAAAGUUCACAAGUUCUUCAAUAUGAAUCAUUUAAUUAUUUUUGCCCUGACGUUACUCUGCAUUUCGAAAUCGGUCGAUUCUGUACCCAUUAUCAACUGCGAACCAAAUUCGUUAUCUGAGACUUCGAGUGAACUCCAACAACUUUGUUAUUAUAUUAUGGAAAAUAUGAUUGUAGGUGACACCAUUGGGGAUAAGCACUCAGAACGGGGAAUCAAGAGACAAGCAGUUGAUCACGUGUUUUUGCGCUUCGGUAAACGAUUUGGCUUCUAAAUGAGUAACUCUAAUUGAUUUUAUAAUCAUCACAAAAUUGUACUCACUUUAUUAUAGUAAAAUAUUUAAAGAAUAAAAACUAAAAUUGUGGAA